rnacentral:tRNA from 1 species
GUGAUCAUGAUGUAAUAGUUAGCAUCCAGCCCUGUGAAGGCUGACGUGCGGGUGCAAGUCCCGUUGAUCACCCCA